CUUAGCAAAAAUAACACAGAAUAAUAACGGCAGAGCAACCGGUACAGUAUGUACAAGUUGCGAAUAAUUAUUGGACAUUAUUGUUUUUGACUACAUAUCGGUCAUUGAAACCAUGAUUCACUGUAUUAAAAAAAUAAGAAAACGGCGGUUUCUAUGUAAUUUGGAACUUUAGUUUUUCGACCAAACAGUCUUGUGAUUUAUUCAAUUGACUUCGCGUCGCGGUUGUGUGUUUUGAUUUUUUAAUAUACAUAUUCAUUAUUAAAAAAGUGAAUAAAGAAUUAAGAAACAAAAAAGGAUAAAUUGUGAUAACAAAAAUAACAAAAAAGUGAAAAUGACGAGAAGCGUGGCAGCAGUAGGAAAGGAAAUAAGUCUUUGCGAGUUAGAGGUCAAAAAUGACAAUCAUAUUGAAAUUCUCAUUAGGAAGUGGAGAACAGCGUGGAAUAAAAUCUUUCCAAACUAAUAGGAUGGGUAAAUAAUCUCAUUGGCCGACGCUUUUCAAGAGUACAAUACAAAUGGUAAAUAAAAAUUGUAAACAAAAAAUUAUAAUAAAAAUUAAUAUUUUAAAUUUAUUGCCAUUUAA